AGAGUUUGAUCAUGCCUCAGGAUGAACNCUGUCGGCGUGCUUAACACAUGCAAGUGGAACGANCCCUUCGGGUUAGUGGCGGACGGNUGAGUAACCCGUGGGAAUCUGCCCUCAGGAGGGGGAUAACGGUUGGAAACGGCCGCUAAUACCCCAUAUGCCGAGGAGGUGAAAUGAAUUUCNCCUGAGGAUGAGCCCNCGUCUGAUUAGCUAGUUGGUGAGGUAAGAGCUCACCAAGGCAUCGAUCAGUAGCUGGUCUGAGAGGAUGAUCAGCCACACUG
rnacentral:rRNA from 1 species